rnacentral:rRNA from 1 species
AUUGAACGCUGGCGGCAGGCCUAACACAUGCAAGUCGAACGAGUGGCGGACGGGUGAGUAAUGUCUGGGAAACUGCCUGAUGGAGGGGGAUAAAUACUGGAAACGGUAGCUAAUACCGCAUACCAUCGGAUGUGCCCAGAUGGGAUUAGCUAGUAGGUGGGGUAAAGGCUGACCUAGGCGACGAUCCCUAGCUGGUCUGAGAGGAUGACCAGCCACACGGGAACUGAGACACGUCCCAUACGCCUACGGGUGGCAGCAGUGGGGAAUAUUGCACAAGGGGCGAAAGCCUGAUGCAGCCAUGCCUCGUGUAUGAAGAAGGCCUUCGGGUUGUAAAGUACUUUCAGCGGGGAGGCGUUACCCGCAGAAGAAGCACCGGCUAACUCCGUGCCAGCAGCCGCGGUAAUAC